AGUUAAAAAUUAAUAAAUAAUGCUAUAAUAAAAAAAUUUUUAAUUAAAAUAAUUUAAAGGGGGGUUAAAGUAUUUUAAAAGAAAAAAUAAAAAAAUUUAUAGUAAAUUAGUAUUGUAAAAGAAAUUUGAAAUAAUAUGAAAAUUAAUUAUUUAAAAAGUAAUAUUAAUUUUAUGUAUCUUGUGUAUCAGAGUUUAUUUAAUAAAAUUUUAUAAAAAAAAUUCUCGAAUUUAAAAGAGAGAAUUAAUUAUAAAAGUUAUUGUUUCAUAACUAUUUUUAAUAAUUAAUUUGAAAUGAAAUGUUAAUCGUUUUUAAAAAUAUCUAGUUUUUUUAGAAAAAAAUUUAAUUUUAAAAUUAAAAAUUAAUAUAAAUUUUUAUUUAUUUUAUUAUAUAAUUUAAUUUUUAUAAUUUAAGGGAUAAGCUUUAAAUUAAAAUUUUAUAAUUAAUAAAUUUAAAUUAUUUAAAAUUUUUAGAAUUUAUAUUGUUAAAUAAAUUAUAAUUUUUUAUAAAUAAUUUUAAAUAAAAAAAAAUUUAAAUAUAUAAUUUAAUUUUUUAUAAAAAAUUAAUUAAAAAUAAUAUUUAAUUAGGAAUAAUGAUAAAAUUAGUAUAUAAAUAAAUAAAUAUAAAAAUUAUUUUUUGAUAAUUAAUUUAAAGGAAUUCGGCAAAUAUAUAUAUAUAUAUAUAUAUAUAUAUAUAAUUUAUAUUCACUUGUUUAUCAAAAACAUGUCUUUUUGAAAAUAAUUUAAAGUCUAAUCUGCCCACUGAUUUAUAUUAAAGGGCUGCAGUAAUUUGACUGUACAAAGGUAGCAUAAUCAUUAGUCUCUUAAUUGGUGACUUGUAUGAAGGAUUGGAUGAAAUAUAAACUGUCUCUAAUUUAUUUUAUAAAAUUUAAUUAUUUAAUUAAAAAGUUAAAAUAUUUUUAAAAGACGAGAAGACCCUAUAGAGUUUUAUUAUUAAAAUAAUUAAAUAUUUAAUAUAAAUUUUUAAUUAAAAUUAUUUUAAUAAUUUUGUUGGGGUGAUAAAAAAAUUAAAUAAACUUUUUUUAAAAUUUAACAUAAAUAAGUGAUAAGAUGAUCCAUAAUUUUUGAUUAAAAGAAUAAAUUACCUUAGGGAUAACAGCGUAAUUUUUUUUUUUAGUUCAAAUAAAAAAAAAAGUUUGCGACCUCGAUGUUGGAUUAAGAUAAAAAUUAAAUGCAAAAGUUUAAAUUUUUUGAUCUGUUCGAUCAUUAAAAUCUUACAUGAUCUGAGUUCAAACCGGUGUGAGCCAGGUUGGUUUCUAUCUUUAGAAAAAUAAAAUAUUUUAGUACGAAAGGAUCAAGUAUUUUAAAUAAUUUAAUUAUUUGAAUUUUAUUAAUAUAAAUUAAAUGAA
rnacentral:rRNA from 1 species